GUUGAGUGGCAGCGGGCAGAGUUUGAACCCGGGACCACCAAUAAGUCCGAACGACAGUCCAGCGCGCAAACC